rnacentral:rRNA from 1 species
CCUACGGGAGGCAGCAGUGGGGAAUAUUGGACAAUGGGCGCAAGCCUGAUCCAGCAAUGCCGCGUGAGUGAAGAAGGCCUUCGGGUUGUAAAGCUCUUUUGUCGGGGAAGAAACGGUGGGGGCUAAUAUCUCCUACUAAUGACGGUACCUGAAGAAUAAGCACCGGCUAACUACGUGCCAGCAGCCGCGGUAAUACGUAGGGUGCAAGCGUUAAUCGGAAUUACUGGGCGUAAAGCGUGCGCAGGCGGUUUUGUAAGUCUGUCGUGAAAGCCCCGGGCUCAACCUGGGAAUUGCGAUGGAGACUGCAAGGCUUGAAUCUGGCAGAGGGGGGUAGAAUUCCACGUGUAGCAGUGAAAUGCGUAGAGAUGUGGAGGAACACCGAUGGCGAAGGCAGCCCCCUGGGUCAAGAUUGACGCUCAUGCACGAAAGCGUGGGGAGCAAACAGGAUUAGAUACCCUGGUAGUCCACGCCCUAAACGAUGUCUACUAGUUGUCGGGUUUUAAUUAACUUGGUAACGCAGCUAACGCGUGAAGUAGACCGCCUGGGGAGUACGGUCGCAAGAUUAAAACUCAAAGGAAUUGACGGNUGAGACGNGCGAGACGACGACGAGGGAGGAGG